rnacentral:lncRNA from 10 species
UGCACUGGGACACUUGGCUCCGAACUGACACUCUGCCAGCAAUGCUGGGCCUUAAAAAUGUUUGCUGCUACUGCUUCAUCGAGAAAGGAAUCUCUGUUGCCUCUCAUUAUUUGCAUCACUUAAUCGUAACUCAAAGUAGGCAGCUGAUUGGCUAAGAUUAGUUUAGUAACCACUGGGUGUGAAAUGCUUAGUAACUACUCCCCAAAAUAUCUGGAAGAACCUUUUGAAUUGAAGAGGCAAGAAAACUACAUACUACAUUUCUGAUACCCUUUUUUGCAGAAAGGAUACUUGAUACUUCAUUUAAAGCUGAGAGUUGUGUCUGUAUCUUCAAGACUUAGAUUCAGAGCUGAGUUACUUGGCUAUAUGAGGAAGCCUCUUUGCUGAUACAGAUCAUGUAGUGAUGGUGUGCGAAGUCCUAGACAGCAGCAAUUUGAUUCAACAACAUUCUGACAGUGGUGAGAGGCAGAAGCUCUCUUCUCUACACAACUCUAUGGUGAGAUUUUGGGAAUCAGUCCUAGAAGCGUAGCCUUUAAUCUUCUUAAUGCUGCUUUGGGCCACCUAUGCCUCAAUAAACUUCUUCAUGUUUAAAUAUGGUACAAACAAUUCUAUUGCCUGUAAAUUGAGAAUGCUCAUUAACAUAAUAAAUGGAAUCUGUCGUAGUUCCCUGUUACAGACUCCAAGAAAAUAAGAAUUUACAGAUUGUUUCUCCGGGUUUGUUUGAAGAGUGUGAGAAUCCAUUAACCUUAGAAAAAGGGACUGGACUCUGGAAUUGCAGGACACUCAAAACAGUUACAUUAAAUCCUGCGGUUUCCUGCAUGAAGUGUAUUGAAAACAACCUUUGGGGCAUCAAGUGGCUGGUGCAGUAAACAAUUAUGGGGACUCACGGAAUACGUAUAAGAAGAGAGGAGUAGGUCAAUUGCUUAUAAUUACAAUCAAGAAUUUAAGGUGAAAAUAUUAGGCUCAAAGUACAAAUUCUCAGCUCAAUUCAGAGUACAAGAAGACAUGGACAAUCUUAUAGUGUCAUAAAAUAUUCUCUCAUCUUUGUUGCUGCAGGGCUUACAUAUCUGAAAUUCAGUUGAAUUCAGACAAAAUUCAAGUGAUAUAGUGAAACGGAGUUUGUGAUGUCAACUUGCCUAAGCUGAACAAAAUAACAAAAUAUGGGAAACUAUCAGGACAAUUUCCUAAAUUGAACACUCUUUCAUGGAAAAAAGUAAAUUGGAACCUGCACUUGUGAGGCUUGGAAACUACCACCUAAGAUGUUUAAAAGGAAAACUGUCGUUUGCCUCAAAAUGUUUAUCCUUGGGAAGGAAUCAAUAUUGUGCUGACUUUCUCCCCAUACCUAAGUUGGCUUUGCUCCAAUAGUAUUAUUUCCCUCUUUACAAAGUAAAAGUCCAAACAAAAAAACUGUUACUUAAAUAAGUUCCUCUCUAAUUUAUUUGUUCCCCAAUGUCACCAGCUCAAAGACAUUUACAAUAAACUCCAUAUUGGAAAUUGCAAAUCUUUCCACAUUGCUAGCACUCAUGGUCACUUUAUAAAUUAUGUAUUUCUUCUUUCAUUGUUUCAUGUGCUUAUAUAUAUGUGCAUGUGUAUAUAUAUACAUAUACACACACACACAACAUACCUGUUCAAACAUUUAUUGUUUACUAUUAAUAUUGUUUGGCUCUAUGUCCCCACUCAUAUCUCAUCUCGAAUUGUAAUCCCCACACAUCAAGGGAGGGACCUGGUGGGAGGUGACUGUAUCAUGGGGGGUGGAUUCCCCCAUGCUGUUCUUAUGAUGGUGAGAUAGUUCUCACAAGAUCCGGUGGUUUAAAAGUGUUUGGCAGUUCCCUCCUCACUCUCCCUCUCUUGUCGCCUUAUGAAGAAGGUCCUUGCCUCCCCUUUACCUUCCACCAUGAUUGUAAGUUUCCUGAGGCCUCCCCAGCCAUGUGGAACUGUCAGUCAAUUAAAACUUUUUCUUCAUAAAUUACCCAGUCUCAGGAAGUUCUUUAUAGCACUGUGAAAACACACUAAUACAACCAUUCACCAAUGUAGUUUUGCCGGCAUAAUUUGUACUCUCUCUGCCCCCACUCUCAGAAAAAUCAUAAUACUCCUUCAGUGUUCUAAUAAUCUUAGACAAUGGGCUAUAUCUGUUCUCCAGCUUGGGUUUCAGCUCACUAUUUACUGCUUUGGUCUCUUGUCAUAUUGUCAAAUGGACAUUAGUGGUGGGGCUCUUUAAUCCAAUUCGAAAUGCAGCCACAACAUUCAGAUAACUUUGGGAUUGCUGAAAGAGAAGACCACAUACCUACAUCUACGAUUAUUUUUUUCAUAUAUUUAGUCAGAGACACAGUAUUUAAUGGGACUAUCAUUAAUAGAGUUACCAUCAUUGGUGUACAUACAACAAAUCCUAGUAAUAUUUUUUUUCUCAUCUCUUGUAUCCCUAAUGCAGUGAACAUCAGUUGGUAACACUUUUUAAGCUGAUAGAGUCUUGUCAGUUUUUUAAAAAUAAAUCACUUUUAGCUAUGCCAAUGCCCUUUUAUCCAGCAAGUCAUGAAGCCACUGUGGGGAUUUUUCCAGUGACUAAACAUGCCUAUCCCAAUUACAGAUUCAGGUACUGGAGUGAAAAACACAGGAUAGACCUCUGGACCCACUGGGCCCACUGUGAGUUUGACCUCAGUCUCCAUCUAUCACCAGAGCACUUUAUGUUCCCUCUCUGGUGGACCACAGUGCAAUUUUUGGUCCCCACAAAUUAGUGUUCAUUCAAAGUCAGGGCCUCGUAAUCUCCAAAAGUUCUGCUCAUUUUAUUUUCCCCUAUGUAGUCACUCUUGUAAAUGGCCACAGCCCUUUCAGGAAGGCUAGAUGGAAGAUUUAUUGUGUGUACAUAUGGCAGUGGUCCAUUAUUGCAGAACAGGUAGUAAAGAGUAAAUUUGUAGCUGAGAGGCAAUAAAUUGAUAACUGGCACAAAGUGUGAAGAGAAUAUAGAGCAUUUCAAAUGAAGGACUUAGACCAUUAUAAUAAAAUGUGGCAAAAUUUAUAUCAAAGACAAUUUAGUCUCUAAGGAGAAUAAAUGUCAAAUAAGAGGAAUGCUUUCUUGAGGAGCAGAUAUUUGAUGCCAUAUUGUAAAACAUUAGAAGAAUAUAUUCACCCCUAUUCAAUAGUCUUAUAAGGUUAAUAAUAUCAAGGGAUGUGUCCUAGAAAUAUUAUCCAUCCUACCAGGGUUGAAAGUAUACUUGACACAUAAUAAGUUUGUACUGAAUCUACUUCUCUUUUCGAUGAGCUUAGAAUGUACAAAUAUUUCUAAUGAUGAAACAGUAUGAAGGCACAUGUUCUGUAGGGGAAUAAAAGUUUCAGCUGUGUACAUUUCUUAUAAAAAUAGUAUUAUUGUACUAUAAGCACUUUAAUAACUGCUUUUCACCUCUCAUUUAAUCAUGUCUGUUAACAACCUUCUAUUACCAUCAGAUGACAAAUAUUUAUCAGUUGUCCCC